rnacentral:rRNA from 1 species
AAAUUGAAGAGUUUGAUCAUGGCUCAGAUUGAACGCUGGCGGCAGGCCUAACACAUGCAAGUCGAACGGUAACAGGAAGCAGCUUUCUGUUUUGCUGACGAGUGGAGGACGG